rnacentral:tRNA from 2 species
GUGGGUAUAGCUCAGUUGGUUAGAGCAUCGGAUUGUGGUUCCGAGGGUCGAGGGUUCGAGUCCCUUUACCCACC